rnacentral:rRNA from 1 species
UUUUUAAUGGCCGCAGUAUUCCUAACUGUGCAAAGGUAGCAUAAUCAUUAGUCUUUUAAUUGAAGGCUGGUAUGAACGGUUGGACGAGGUAUAAGCUGUUUCAUAUAAAUUUAUAAUAGAAUUUUAUAUUUUAGUCAAAAAGCUAAAAUAUUAUUAAAAGACGAGAAGACCCUAUAAAUCUUUAUAUUUUUUUUUAUUUAAAUUUUUUGGAUUUAUUUUAUUUUUAUAAUGGAGAAUAUUUUGUUGGGGUGAUGUUAAAAUUUAAUGAACUUUUAAUUAUAAAAAUCAUUAAUUUCUCUGUUUUUAUCCAUUAGUAGUGAUUAUAAGAUUAAAGUUACUUUAGGGAUAACAGCCGUAAUUUUUUGCAAACUUCCUCUCCCAAAAAACAC